GCCGGGCGUGGUGGCGCGCGCCUGUAAUCCCAGCUACUUGGGAGGCUGAGGCAGGGGAAUCGCUUGAACCCGGGAGGCAGAGGUUGCAGUGAACUGAGAUUGCACCACUGCACUCCAGCCUGGGCAACAGAGUGAGACUCCACCUCAA
rnacentral:SRP_RNA from 1 species